ACAGGGGUUUCUGGGGUGAAGCCUGUGGUGAUCUCCUGGCUUGAAGGAGGAGCCCUGAGGCUGGGGAGAAGAGGCAUGUGUGCAGAAAGGAAAUCACAGCUUCAGGUGUUUUCACUGCAACAUUUUUAUUUGGGAAUUGAGUCACCAUAAACGAGGGAGUUGGGAAGCAGCCAGCCCCAGUGGAAUGUAUCUGAUCCUACACUCUAUGAUAAUGUCUCAG